rnacentral:rRNA from 1 species
AUGCAGCGAUGCCGCGUGAGUGAAGAAGGCCUUUGGGUUGUAAAGCUCUUUCGUCGGGGAAGAAAAUGACUGUACCCGAAUAAGAAGGUCCGGCUAACUUCGUGCCAGCAGCCGCGGUAAUACGAAGGGACCUAGCGUAGUUCGGAAUUACUGGGCUUAAAGAGCACGUAGGUGGUUAGAAAAGUUGGUGGUGAAAGCCCAAGGCUCAACCUUGGAAUUGCCACCAAAACUUUUUAACUAGAGUAUGAUAGAGGAAAGCAGAAUUUCUAGUGUAGAGGUGAAAUUCGUAGAUAUUAGAAAGAAUACCAAUUGCGAAGGCAGCUUUCUGGAUCAUUACUGACACUGAGGAACGAAAGCAUGGGUAGCGAAGAGGAUUAGAUACCCUCGUAGUCCAUGCCGUAAACGAUGUGUGUUAGAUGUUGGAAAUUUAUUUUCAGUAUCGCAGCGAAAGCGAUAAACACACCGCCUGGGGAGUACGACCGCAAGGUUAAAACUCAAAUGAAUUGACGGGGACCCGCACAAGUAGUGGAGCAUGUGGUUUAAUUCGAAGAUACGCGCAGAACCUUACCAACACUUGACAUGUUCGUCGCGACUUUAAGAGAUUAAAGUUUUCGGUUCGGCCGGACGAAACACAGGUGCUGCAUGGCUGUCGUCAGCUCGUGUCGUGAGAUGUUGGGUUAAGUCCCGCAACGAGCGCAACCCUUACUUUUAGUUGCUACCAUUUAGUUGGGCACUCUAAAAGAACUGCCAGUGAUAAGCUGGAGGAAGGCGGGGAUGACGUCAAGUCCUCAUGGCCCUUACGUGUUGGGCUACACACGUGCUACAAUGGUACUUACAGUGAGAUGCGAAGAGGCGACUCUAAGCUAAUCCCAAAAAGGUACCUCAGUUCGGAUUGUACUCUGCAACUCGAGUACAUGAAGCUGGAAUUACUAGUAAUCGCGGAUCAGCGCGCCGCGGUGAAUACGUUCCCGGGUCUUGUACACACCGCCCGUCACACCAUGGAAGUUGGUUACACCUUAAGGCAAAGCGUAAAACCUUUGACUACGGUACGAUCAGCGACUGGGGUGAAGUCGUAACAAGGUAACC